rnacentral:tRNA from 1 species
GGGGAUGUAGCUCAGUGGCACAGCCUCUGCCUGGCAAGCACAAGGUCCUGAGUUUCAUCCCUG